rfam:Struthio camelus australis contig56534, whole genome shotgun sequence.
CCCCCACCCCGGGAGGCCGAGGUGUCCUACAGAAAAACCUCGGGUCCCACCUGCCGGGGUG